rnacentral:sRNA from 1 species
GUUGUGAGGGAUGGACGCCUCUCCCCCGGAGCAGCACUUUGGGGCCAGCUUGGGCCCUGGGGAUGAGCCACAGGGGACCCACAGCCUAUGCGUGUGAGCAUGUAACCUGGGAGCCAGCUGGGCCCCUCGCGGGGUGGGCAGAAGGACGGGCUGGCCCAGGACCCUCUUCUUUGAGACAUCCCGGACUCCAUCUCGGAUGAAAGUGCUUUGAGAAACCACAGAGUUUUCUGUUUAAUGGAAGAAAGAAAUCCAGCCUCUCUCCAGAGUGGCGGUGGCCGGCUAGACAGGAGCCAAGGACAUGAAGAACAAGCUGGGGAUCUUCAGACGGCGGAAUGAGUCCCCUGGAGCCCCUCCCGCGGGCAAGGCAGACAAAAUGAUGAAGUCAUUCAAGCCCACCUCAGAGGAAGCCCUCAAGUGGGGCGAGUCCUUGGAGAAGCUGCUGGUUCACAAAUACGGGUUAGCAGUGUUCCAAGCCUUCCUUCGCACUGAGUUCAGCGAGGAGAAUCUGGAGUUCUGGUUGGCUUGUGAGGACUUCAAGAAGGUCAAGUCACAGUCCAAGAUGGCAUCCAAGGCCAAGAAGAUCUUUGCUGAAUACAUCG